rnacentral:misc_RNA from 1 species
AACGCAUAUUGCGCCCCUUGGUAUUCCGGGGGGCACACCUGUUCGAGCGCCAUUUUGACCCCUCAAGCAUUGCUUGGUGUUGGGCAGGGUCCUUUUGGGGGACCCGCCCGUAACUUGUAGGCGGCCAUCGGUGGCGCCCCCAGCGUAGCAGGCUAACGCACCCGCUUGGGGGUGGCCCGCGUGGCUAGCCCAAAACUUACCCAAAGGUUUGGCCUCGGAUCAGGUGGGGAUACCCGCUGAACUUAA